CACUGAAAAAGUGAAAGAAAACAGGGAGAGAAGUACUGAAAAAGCCAAACGUUUCCUUAUCCAGUUAAUCUCUUAAGAACUUUUUAAAGAAGUGCCAUGUGUUAAUUUCUAGAAUAAGGAAAAAAAAAUCCGCUGCUUGCAUAUGAUUUUUUCCCACUUGAGGUAUUUCAUCCUGUCCUAAUUAAAACUUGUUUGUUUGCCAGAAAUGCUCCACUUGGAAACUGAGGAAAAAGGUAAGUGUGCGUGUACAGAGGGUGCAGGGGGCAGAGGUGGUUCUCUGGGAUACUGCACGGAUAAAAUCCCGGCUCCGUGGGAGACGGUGGGAUUUGCUGCCGACUCCAGCGAGGCCAGGCUUUCACGGAGAUGGAGUAGAGCGGCUGUGCCCCGUCCCGUCUCCCUUGAUGGCCCCCAGCCCUCACGUUGGAGCGGUUCUGGGCUCCUUUCAGGAACAUGACAUUUUCCCUGGUUGCAGCAGGUCCUCAUUUAUGCUCUGCUAGGACUAUGCCAAAGCUUUCCCAGUUGACCAGCAGAAUUUGAUGCUCUACGGAGGACAUUGGUGCUCUAGGCCCAAGUGCUUUUCUCUUCACGGUUGUAAAUCUGUUGCAUGUCCCACAAAUUCCUGUUUUUCCACCAUGCAGGUCUGACUGGUGUUCACGAGUGAGCUGUGGUUCAUUUCCACGUCAGGUUAAACAAGGAGGUGUGUUGCAGAACAGAGGGACUGAGUUUGAGAGCACUGACAGAGCACGGCCAGAAGACUGACUUUAUUGGUGAGGAAGAGUGGAACGGAUCCAAAGCCUGUUGUCUCGCUGGUAACCAGGGUGCCUGCUGGAAGGGCUGUAGCUGUUGCGUCGAAACCCAAAUGCAAUUAUGCAAUGUCUGCUAAGCAGCAAGGAGUUUGCCUGGAUCAGGAGACUGCUUCAUUGCCCGCAGAAGAGACCGACAGCAGCCAGUAACUGAUUGCUUCUUAUUGCUGAAGCAUCAGUGAUUUUUUUCCGAUGCUUUCUCCUCUUUGUAGCCAUGGCUCUGAGACAUUCAGUACGCUGAGUGAAGCGCUGGGGUGGGGGAAGAGGCAAGGGCAGCAGACAGGAUAAGGCCAGCUGGAGGAGCAGUAGUUUUCAGUGGCAAUAAGCAGGACAUUGGCAACUCGUUUUCCUCCUGUUUCUCUGCUGACUGCCUUCCACAUCUCUGUAAUGACACGUCAGACUGGGGUGUUCCCCUUGUUUCUGUGCUCCUGUUUGCAUGGCUCCAGGUUGGCUUAGAAACCUUUCCCCUUGUGUGUGUUUGAUAGUCCCGUCUCUCAAUGCAAGAGCGGGCGCUCAGAGGAGGCGGUUUUUUUCUCUCCAGGGUCCUGGCUCUUUUUCCAUCAGACACCAGUGUUAGGUGAACAUCCCUCCAGUGCAGAAGGAAUGAAUCCUUCAUUUUCACAAAUGCAAAUGCUGGCUACCCGUUGCCUAUCUAAGCGAUAUUUGGUUCCUGCCGCCUCCUUGCAAUUCUAGUUCAAAAGCACCUCUCAGACUGUAACAUCUGUUAUCUUUAGCUUUACAGCUCUGAAACAUGCGUUGGCUUAAUCACAUGUUUAGCACUGCUGACUGUGGUACGUGUCCAAAUAUUAAGUAACUUACUGAGCUGGGGCCUAGCUUUGACUGAUGGGAUUAGGGCUAUCAGAUUGUUUUUUUCCAUUUGGGUCACCGAGAACAUUUAGAUAGACAAUUAAAAGAGAUGCUGCCCUCUGUAAUCUUGCUGGAGAGAGAAAGAGUAACCAGGAAAGCAUUUGGCUGAAGAAAGAUGAAGUGCAAGUCCACUGGAGGUCUUUUGCUGGGCCUAAAGAGAGUUUAAGCGUUUUGCAGGGGACCAAAACUGACCACGCGUGGUUGACCGCCACUGCCAGAAAAUGGAGGGAGCAAGCGAAAUCGGAGGAAAGGCUGCAGACCAGGAUAUACCCAUCUAUUGGGAAGAGAGUUUCUUUAGUUCAGCUGCUUGCAGGCCUGCUCCACCAGUCAACGUGCCGUUUGUUGUUGACUGGCUCCUCCCAGGUGGGCCAGUCACAAAAACCCAACACAGUUGCCUUGCUGGGACCAGCUGACCCGGCUGUGAUCUCCAUGUCCUCCCUUCUGGCUGGAGAGCAGCAAGCCUGGGGUAGCUCUGCGGUGUCCGAGCUGUUGUUUAAUGUUCUGUUGUGCAGGGCAGGCUGCCCGUGGAAAAGCCUUGGGCAAGCGUAACCAGAGAGGUCUGAUGACAUGCUUUCUCUUGGACACCAAGGUCCUGGCGGCUGUUUUUUGGGUUUCCUGUUCUGCCCUUCAGGUCUCAGGUCCUGGCAGGUGGUAUCCUAGGUCUGGUGGCAGCAGAGGCUGAAGGUGUGAGGAGGUGCAGGCGUCUCCUGGAGCAGCGCUGCUGGCGUCCCGCUGCUGGGCUGGAAGGGACUGCUCCAGGGACCGUGCUGGCUCUCUGGACGUGGCAGGAGCGUCCGUCUUGUGCUGGUGCCAGCCCU